AUUGAACGCUGGCGGCAGGCCUAACACAUGCAAGUCGAACGAGUGGCGGACGGGUGAGUAAUGUCUGGGAAACUGCCUGAUGGAGGGGGAUAACUACUGGAAACGGUAGCUAAUACCGCAUACCAUCAGAUUUGCCCAGAUGGGAUUAGCUUGUUGGUGGGGGAACGGCUCACCAAGGCGAAUAUCCCUAGCUGGUCUGAGAGGAUGACCGGCAACACUGGAACUGAGAUACGGUCCAGAGUCCUACGGGAUGAUGAAGUGGGGAAUAUUGGAGAAUGGGCGCAAGCCUGAUGCAGCCAUGCCGAGUGGAUGAAGAAGGCCUUCGGGGUGUAAAGUACGUUCAGCGGGGAGGCGUUACCCGCAGAAGAAGCACCGGCUAACUCCGUGCCAGCAGCCGCGGUAAUAC
rnacentral:rRNA from 1 species